rnacentral:rRNA from 1 species
AGAGUUUGAUCCUGGCUCAGAUUGAACGCUGGCGGCAUGCCUUACACAUGCAAGUCGAACGGUAACAGGUUAAGCUGACGAGUGGCGAACGGGUGAGUAAUAUAUCGGAACGUGCCCAGUCGUGGGGGAUAACUGCUCGAAAGAGCAGCUAAUACCGCAUACGACCUGAGGGUGAAAGCGGGGGAUCGCAAGACCUCGCGCGAUUGGAGCGGCCGAUAUCAGAUUAGGUAGUUGGUGGGGUAAAGGCUCACCAAGCCAACGAUCUGUAGCUGGUCUGAGAGGACGACCAGCCACACUGGGACUGAGACACGGCCCAGACUCCUACGGGAGGCAGCAGUGGGGAAUUUUGGACAAUGGGCGCAAGCCUGAUCCAGCCAUGCCGCGUGCGGGAAGAAGGCCUUCGGGUUGUAAACCGCUUUUGUCAGGGAAGAAAAGGUUCUGGCUAAUACCUGGGACUCAUGACGGUACCUGAAGAAUAAGCACCGGCUAACUACGUGCCAGCAGCCGCGGUAAUACGUAGAGGUGCCAAGCGUUACUCGGAAUUACUGGGCGUAAAGCGUGCGCAGGCGGUUCUGCAGACAGAUUGUUGGACAAUCCCCCCGGGGCUCCAACCUUGGGAACUG